GACGAACGCUGGCGGCGUGCCUAAUACAUGCAAGUCGAACGCACUCUCGUUUAGAUUGAAGGAGUUUGCUCCUGAUUGAUAAACAUUUGAGUGAGUGGCGGACGGGUGAGUAACACGUGGGUAACCUGCCCUAAAGUGGGGAUAACAAUUUGAAACCGAUGCCUAUUACGCCUAAAACCCAACAACGCCUUGUGUAGGGUUGAAAGAAGGUUUCCGCCUUUCCCUUUGGAUGGACCCGCGGUGCAUUAGUUAGUUGGUGAGGUAAAGGCUCACCAAGACCGUGAUGCAUAGCCGACCUGAGAGGGUAAUCGGCCACACUGGGACUGAGACACGGCCCAGACUCCUACGGGAGGCAGCAGUAGGGAAUCUUCCACAAUGGACGAAAGUCUGAUGGAGCAACGCCGCGUGAGUGAAGAAGGUUUUCGGAUCGUAAAACUCUGUUGUUGGAGAAGAAUGUAUCUGAUAGUAACUGAUCAGGUAGUGACGGUAUCCAACCAGAAAGCCACGGCUAACUACGUG
rnacentral:rRNA from 1 species